rnacentral:rRNA from 1 species
GAGUAGUAAUAGUUAUGUUCUUGAAACUUAAAAAAUUUGGCGGUACUUUAAUCUAUUCAGAGGAAUCUGUUCUGUAAUCGAUAUUCCACGAGAACUUUACUUUAGUUUGUAUUCAAUUUGUAUACCGCCGUUAUAGAUUAUCUUUUAAGAGUAAUAAUUUUCUUUAAUUUUUAAAAAUAUAUCAGGUCAAGGUGCAGUUUAUGUUAAAGGAGGAAAUGGAUUACAAUAAAUUUAUUUAUAUGAAUGGAAGAUUGAAAAAUUUUUUUGAAGGUGGAUUUGAUAGUAAAUUUAUGUAUUUUGUUAAUUUGAUUUUAGUUCUAAAGUAUGC